AUUGAACGCUGGCGGCAUGCCUUACACAUGCAAGUCGAACGGCAGCACGGGUGCUUGCCCCUGGUGGCGAGUGGCGAACGGGUGAGAAAUACAUCGGAACAUGUCCUGUAGUGGGGGAUAGCCCGGCGAAAGCCGGAUUAAUACCGCAUACGAUCUACGGAUGAAAGCGGGGGACCUUCGGGCCUCGCGCUAUAGGGUUGGCCGAUGGCUGAUUAGCUAGUUGGUGGGGUAAAGGCCUACCAAGGCGACGAUCAGUAGCUGGUCUGAGAGGACGACCAGCCACACUGGGACUGAGACACGGCCCAGACUCCUACGGGAGGCAGCAGUGGGGAAUUUUGGACAAUGGGCGAAAGCCUGAUCCAGCAAUGCCGCGUGUGUGAAGAAGGCCUUCGGGUUGUAAAGCACUUUUGUCCGGAAAGAAAUCCUUGGCCCUAAUACGGUCGGGGGAUGACGGUACCGGAAGAAUAAGCACCGGCUAACUACGUG
rnacentral:rRNA from 1 species